CAGGGCCGGAUGGGCGGCCAGGAUGCCCCCGCCCCCUCUCCCAAGAGAGUGUGAGCGCGCGAGUGCGUGUUCCCGGAGACUCUCAGAGACGCAGCCUGUAGUGAUCCAAUUAAUGUUCUUCGCUGGCUAGACCACAUCUGAAGUGCUGUAAGAAGAGGUCAUUCAAGUUGGAAUUAUUUCAGGGAAGAGCAAAAUGAUGACGAGAACUCAAAAGCAUGACACGUGAAGAAAUAUUGAUCGAACCUGUGAAAAUUUGUCUAAAAAUCAGAAACUACUCAACUAUCUCCAAAUAUGAACAGACCCAUUAUGUCAAAUAACUUUUGUUUCGUGUCAUACAAACUACAGGGAAACAGGUUCCAGAUCCUGAAAAGAAGAUCUCUUUCUAGCACUAGCCAAAGACUACUUCCACACACAGGAUUUGACUUCAAGGAGAUUCUGAAUGCACACUUACUAGAGACUUGGUACAGAGAACCCAGACAUCAAGAAGUAUUAAUUGAUGGCUGUGUGAAGUUAUUUCCAGCUUUGAGUUUCCAGCAGGAUAUGGUCCUGGCCUUCAAAGAGUUUAUAAGUUAGUUUAUAGAAAAACAAAUGCAUAAAAAGUAAAUAAGGCAAGGCCACAUGAUAAUAAGUGGUAACUUAUUGUGGUAACAGUAAGUGCUAGAAAUUCACAUGAAUAGUUGUUCCCAUCACAGUUCAGAGGCUAAAGGGAGAAUAAAGAAAUUGAAAAUCUACUCCCUAUAACUGCCAUAUUCAGUAGGGUAGCCUCUAGCCAAAUGUGGCUAUUGACUCUUGAAAUAAAGCUUGUCCAAUUUGAAAAUAAGUUCAGAAUACAUACCAGAUUGAAAGACUAAGAAAACAAAUGUAAAAUAUUGUAAUCUCAUGUUGAUUAUGUGUUGGAAUAAUAUUAGGUAUAUGCUGGGUUAAAUAAAUUAUGUUAAAAAUAA